rnacentral:rRNA from 1 species
AUUGAACGCUAGCGGCAUGCCUAACACAUGCAAGUCGAACGAGCGGCGGACGGGUGAGUAAUGUAUGGGGACUGCCCGGUAGCGGGGGAUAACUACUUGAAACAGUGGCUAAUAACGCAUACUAUCGGAUGACCCAUAUGGGAUUAGCUAGUUGGUGGGGUAAAGGCUCACCGAGGCGACGAUCUGUAGCUGGUCUGAGGGGAGGAACAGCCACACUGUGACUGAGACAAGGCCCAGACUCCGACGGAGGCAGCAGUGGGGAAUAUUGCACAAUGGGCGCAAGCCUGAUGCAGCCAUGCCGCGUGUAUGAAGAAGGCCUUAGGGUUGUAAAGUACUUUCAGCGGGGAGGCGGUACCUGCAGAAUAAGCACCGGCUAACUCCGUGCCAGCAGCCGCGGUAAUUC